rnacentral:rRNA from 1 species
UACAGAGGUCUCAAGCGUUGUUCGGAUUCAUUGGGCGUAAAGGGUGCGUAGGUGGCGCGCUAAGUCAGGUGUGAAAUUUCGGAGCUUAACUCCGAAACUGCAUUUGAUACUGGCGUGCUUGAGGACUGGAGAGGAGACUGGAAUUCACGGUGUAGCAGUGAAAUGCGUAGAGAUCGUGAGGAAGACCAGUGGCGAAGGCGGGUCUCUGGACAGUUCCUGACACUGAGGCACGAAGGCCAGAGGAGCAAACGGG